GAUGUGCUUUAGAGUAGACAGGUCUU
rnacentral:tRNA from 1 species